GGGGAAAAAUUAAUAAUUAAAUAAUAUAAUAAAAAUAAUUUUAAUAUUUAAAAUAUCUAUGGGGUUAAAGUAUUUUAAAUAGAAAAAAUUAAUUUAUUUAUAGUUAAAUAGUAUUGAGAGAGAAUUUUGAAAUAUUUGAAAUAAAAUUAAUUUAAAAGUAAUUUUUAUUUAGUGUAUCUUGUGUAUCAGAGUUUAUUAAUAAUUUUUUAUUAAUUUAAAUUUUUCGAAUUUAAAAGAGUUAAUUAAUUAAGAAAUAUAUUGUGAAAAAAAUAUUUUUAAUAAUUAAUUAGAAAUGAAAUGUUAAUCGUUUUUAAAUAUAUCUAAUUUUUUUAGAAAAAAAUUUAAUUUAAAAUUUAAAAUAUAAAUAAUUAAUUUAAUUAAUUAAAUUAAUUAAAAUUUAAAUUUAAUAUUUUAAGGGAUAAGCUUUAAAAUAAAUAAUUAUAAAAAUAAAAAAUUAUUUUAAAAUUUUUAAAAUUUAUAUUUUUUAAAAAUUUUAAUUUAUUAUAAAUAAUUUUAAAUUAAUAAAAAUUUAAAUUAAAUUUAAUUUUAUAUAAAAAAUAAUAUUUGAAUAAAUUUUAUAAAGUUAUAAUGAUAAAAUUAGUAUAUUAAAAUUAAAAUUUAAUAAAUUUAAUUUUAAUUUAGUAAAAAGAAUUCGGCAAAAAUUUAUAUUCACCUGUUUAUCAAAAACAUGUCUUUUUGAAAAUAAUUUAAAGUCUAAUCUGCCCACUGAUAAAUAAUUAAAGGGCUGCAGUAUUUUGACUGUACAAAGGUAGCAUAAUCAAUAGUCUCUUAAUUAGUGACUUGUAUGAAUGAUUGGAUGUAAUAUAAACUGUUUCUUAUUAAUUUAAUAGAAUUUAAUUUUUUAAUUAAAAAGUUAAAAUAAUUUUAAAAGACGAGAAGACCCUAUAGAGUUUUAUAAAUUUAUUUGUUAAAAUUAUUUAUUUAUAAAUAAAUAAUAAUAAUUAAAUUUAUUUUGUUGGGGUGAUAAAAAAAUUUAAUAAACUUUUUUUAAAUUAAACCAUAAAUAAAUGAAUUUAUUGAUCCAAUUUAAUAAUGAUUAUAAAAAUAAGUUACCUUAGGGAUAACAGCGUAAUUUUUUUUUUUAGUUCAAAUAAAAAAAAAAGUUUGCGACCUCGAUGUUGGAUUAAGAUAAAAUUUAAAUGCAAAAGUUUAAAAUUUUGAUCUGUUCGAUCAUUAAAAUCUUACAUGAUCUGAGUUCAAACCGGUGUAAGCCAGGUUGGUUUCUAUCUUUAAAAAUAUAAAAUAUUUUAGUACGAAAGGAUUUGAUAUUUAAAAUAAUUUUAUUUAAUUGAAUUUUAAUAAUAAUAAUAUACAUAUUAUUGAAUAAAAAAAAAUU
rnacentral:rRNA from 1 species